AUUGAACGCUGGCGGAAUGCUUUACACAUGCAAGUCGAGCGGCAGCGCGGGGGCAACCCUGGCGGCGAGCGGCGAACGGGUGAGUAACAUAUCGGAACGUACCCAGUGGUGGGGGAUAACACAUCGAAAGAUGUGCUAAUACCGCAUACGACCUGAGGGUGAAAGGGGGGGAUCGCAAGACCUCUCGCCGUUGGAGCGGCCGAUGGCAGAUUAGGUAGUUGGUGGGGUAAAGGCUCACCAAGCCGACGAUCUGUAGCUGGUCUGAGAGGACGACCAGCCACACUGGGACUGAGACACGGCCCAGACUCCUACGGGAGGCAGCAGUGGGGAAUUUUGGACAAUGGGCGCAAGCCUGAUCCAGCCAUUCCGCGUGCAGGAUGAAGGCCCUCGGGUUGUAAACUGCUUUUGUACGGAACGAAAAGGCUCUGGUUAAUACCUGGGGCUCAUGACGGUACCGUAAGAAUAAGCACCGGCUAACUACGUGCCAGCAGCCGCCGUAA
rnacentral:rRNA from 1 species